GUGGGGAAUAUUGGACAAUGGGCGAAAGCCUGAUCCAGCCAUGCCGCGUGUGUGAAGAAGGUCUUCGGAUUGUAAAGCACUUUAAGUUGGGAGGAAGGGCAGUAAGUUAAUACCUUGCUGUUUUGACGUUACCGACAGAAUAAGCACCGGCUAACUUCGUGCCAGCAGCCGCGGUAAUACGAAGGGGGCGAGCGUUAUUCGGAAUCACUGGGCGUAAAGCGUGCGUAGGCGGUUUUGUAAGUUAGGAGUGAAAGCCCAGGGCUCAACCUUGGAAUUGCUCUUAAAACUGCAAGGCUCGAAUCUCGGAGAGGAUAGCGGAAUUUCCAGUGUAGCAGUGAAAUGCGUAGAUAUUGGAAGGAACACCAGUGGCGUAAGCGGCUAUCUGGACGAGUAUUGACGCUGAGGCACGAAAGCGUGGGGAUCAAACAGGAUUAGAAACCCUGGUAGUCC
rnacentral:rRNA from 1 species